CUCUGUUCUCUCUCUCUCUCUCUCUCUCUCGGAUUUCUUUUUCCCUCUGUUCUCUCUCUCUCUCUCUCGGAUUUUGGAUCAAAAUGACCUUCUCGGAUCAUCCUCCUCUGUGUAUCUUCAUCGACGACGGCUGAGAAAUGCCUUAGCGACUUACAUUCUUCUUCUUCUUCUUCGUGUACAUUGCUGGUUUUGCUUUACUUUUGAGGUAGAAAUUAUACGAGUGAUGGAUUACAACUGGCAUUGCUUAUCUCCAGGCAUUGUAAUCGUCUACAAUGUUGAGGUUCCUCUACGGUGACGGACUUUUCGGCAUUGAAAACAGUUGCAGAAUAAGGUACGAGGAUGUGUAAUGUUGUU